rnacentral:rRNA from 1 species
CAGCAGCCGCGGUAAUGCGUAGGUGGCAAGCGUUGUCCGGAAUUAUUGGGCGUAAAGGGCUCGCAGGCGGUUUCUUAAGUCUGAUGUGAAAGCCCCCGGCUCAACCGGGGAGGGUCAUUGGAAACUGGGAAACUUGAGUGCAGAAGAGGAGAGUGGAAUUCCACGUGUAGCGGUGAAAUGCGUAGAGAUGUGGAGGAACACCAGUGGCGAAGGCGACUCUCUGGUCUGUAACUGACGCUGAGGAGCGAAAGCGUGGGGAGCGAACAGGAUUAGAUACCCCCGUAGUCCCUGUCUCUUAUAC